AAGACAUCUGAGAUGGAAUAAAGAUUUAUCGCUUAUGGAUGGGGAUGCGUCUGAUUAGGUAGUAGGCGGGGUAACGGCCCACCUAGCCGACGAUCAGUAGGGGUUCUGAGAGGAAGGUCCCCCACAUUGGAACUGAGACACGGUCCAAACUCCUACGGGAGGCAGCAGUGAGGAAUAUUGGUCAAUGGACGGAAGUCUGAACCAGCCAAGUAGCGUGCAGGAUGACGGCCCUAUGGGUUGUAAACUGCUUUUUUAGGGGAAUAAAGUUAGCCACGUGUGGUUAUUUGCAUGUACCCUACGAAUAAGGACCGGCUAAUUCCGUGCCAGCAGCCGCGGUAAUACGGAAGGUCCGGGCGUUAUCCGGAUUUAUUGGGUUUAAAGGGAGCGCAGGCCGUUUGGUAAGCGUGUUGUGAAAUGUCCGGGCUCAACCUGGGCACUGCAGCGCGAACUGUCAGACUUGAGUGCACAGGAAGCGGGCGGAAUUCGUGGUGUAGCGGUGAAAUGCUUAGAUAUCACGAAGAACUCCAAUUGCGAAGGCAGCUCGCUGUAGUGUUACUGACGCUAAAGCUCGAAAGUGCGGGUAUCGAACAGGAUUAGAUACCCUGGUAGUCCGCACGGUAAACGAUGGAUGCCCGCUGUUUGCCCUUCGGGGUGAGUGGCUAAGCGAAAGCGUUAAGCAUCCCACCUGGGGAGUACGCCGGCAACGGUGAAACUCAAAGGAAUUGACGGGGGCCCGCACAAGCGGAGGAACAUGUGGUUUAAUUCGAUGAUACGCGAGGAACCUUACCCGGGCUUGAAUUGCAGAUGACGGAUCUAGAGAUAGUGACUUCCUUCGGGACAUCUGUGAAGGUGCUGCAUGGUUGUCGUCAGCUCGUGCCGUGAGGUGUCGGCUUAAGUGCCAUAACGAGCGCAACCCUUCUCUUCAGUUGCCAUCAGGU
rnacentral:rRNA from 1 species